rnacentral:rRNA from 1 species
UACAGAGGUCUCAAGCGUUGUUCGGAUUCAUUGGGCGUAAAGGGUGCGUAGGUGGCGCCAUAAGUCAGGUGUGAAAUCUCGGGGCUCAACCCCGAAACUGCAUUUGAUACUGUGGUGCUCGAGUACUGGAGAGGAGAUUUGAAUUUACGGUGUAGCAGUGAAAUGCGUAGAUAUCGUAAGGAAGACCAGUGGCGAAGGCGAAUCUCUGGACAGUUACUGACACUGAGGCACGAAGGCCAGGGGAGCAAACGGG